GGCGGACGGGUGAGUAACACGUAGGUAACCUGCCCAGAAGCGGGGGACAACAUUUGGAAACAGAUGCUAAUACCGCAUAACAGCGUUGUUCGCAUGAACAACGCUUAAAAGAUGGCUUCUCGCUAUCACUUCUGGAUGGACCUGCGGUGCAUUAGCUUGUUGGUGGGGUAACGGCCUACCAAGGCGAUGAUGCAUAGCCGAGUUGAGAGACUGAUCGGCCACAAUGGGACUGAGACACGGCCCAUACUCC
rnacentral:rRNA from 1 species